GGUCGGUUAGCUCAGUUGGUUAGAGCGUCGUACUAAUACAAUGCAAGUUGUAUCAAGUAAUGCGAAGGUCAUGAGUUCAACCCUCAUACUGACCA